UUCAAGUAACAAAAUACAACAUAUUGUUAUUGCAUCUAUCUAAAAAUGAACUGUGGUACAUUAAAUAGCAACACUUCAUCAAUCUGUACAUCGACCUAUACCAUUUGCUAUGAAGAAGGACCAAGGUUCAUGUAACAUACACAAUUGUCAUAUCAAAUGGGUAACUAUUUAGGUAUUAAUAACUGCCACAAUCGUAAGAUGUAGUUGUUUACAAUUGAAUGGUGCACAUAACUGCAGUGUUAAAAUCCAAAGGGCAAUGAAAUGGUGGCUUUGUAAUGAGUGAUCUCCAUGUCUUCUUCCUGGGAUGGUAGAUUUGGAUGAAAAUUGAUCCAGCCCCCUUCUGCUGUCUUGACCUUCGACUUUCUGUUGAAUCACCUCCUUUCAGGAAAGUCAUUACAUGCAGCUCCCCAUCCAUCACAACAAAACCACAUGAGGAGUUGCAAGGAGCUUUUCUUGGUACCGCAGACUCAUUUUGCCAAGAGUUUGAAACCAUGUCAUACCUGAAAAUGUCAUUAUUGUCAAGCAUAAAAACACCAGGUCGGUCCCAAUCACAGUCCUCAACGACCACAAUCUUCCCAAGCCUUGCUCUCUCCCCUUCCCGCCACAUAUCCCCAACGUCCCUCCACUUGCCACACCCAUUCUUCUUCACAUCCAUGAC
rnacentral:misc_RNA from 1 species